GUCAGCUUGUCAGCAUGAGGUUCCCUGCAGAGCUGCUGGGGCUGCUGCUGCUCUGGAGCCCAGGCUCCAGUGGGGAGGUCGUGCUGACCCAGACCCCCCUCUCCCUGGCUGUCGCCCCUGGGGAGCAGGUCUCCAUCUCCUGCAGGGCCAGUCAGAAUCUUGUGCACAGUAAUGGAAACACCUACUUGGAAUGGUACCAGCAGAAACCGGGCCAGUCUCCAAGUCUCCUGAUCUAUUUGGUUUCCAAAAGAUAUAGUGGGGUCCCCGACAGGUUCAGUGGCAGCGGGGCGGGGACAGAUUUCACCCUGAAGAUCAGCAGGCUGGAGCCUGAGGAUGCUGGAGUCUAUUACUGCAUGCAGGGUACACAUGAUCCUCCCACGGUGGUUGAGCCCCGAACAAAAACCUCCCUCGUGGCCGGUACAGAUGCCCAUGUGGUUGGCUUCUGUCUCGUGAGCUGGCACAGGAGACCGAGCCUGUGUAAGAGGAAGAUGGUAGAGAGCUCUGGGCCGUGA